GAUGAACGCUGGCGGCGUGCCUAAUACAUGCAAGUCGAGCGAACGGACGAGAAGCUUGCUUUUCUGAUGUUAGCGGCGGACGGGUGAGUAACACGUGGAUAACCUACCUAUAAGACUGGGAUAACUUCGGGAAACCGGAGCUAAUACCGGAUAAUAUUUUGAACCGCAUGGUUCAAAAGUGAAAGACGGUCUUGCUGUCACUUAUAGAUGGAUCCGCGCUGCAUUAGCUAGUUGGUAAGGUAACGGCUUACCAAGGCAACGAUGCAUAGCCGACCUGAGAGGGUGAUAGGCCACACUGGAACUGAGACACGGUCCAGACUCCUACGGGAGGCAGCAGUAGGGAAUCUUACGCAAAGGGCGAAAGCAUGACGGAGCAACGCCGCGUGAGUGAUGAAGGUCUUCGGAUCGUAAAACUCUGUUAUUAGGGAAGAACAUAUGUGUAAGUAACUGUGCACAUCUUGACGGUACCUAAUCAGAAAGCCACGGCUAACUACGUG
rnacentral:rRNA from 1 species